GCGAGAUAUAUUGGCAGCUGCGGAUCAUUUGAUUGGAAUGAAAUUUGGAAUGGGUACACUUGACGAUAUGAAUCAUUUGAAAAAUAAACGUAUUCGGUCUGUCGCAGAUCUUUUACAAGACCAAUUUGGAUUGUCCCUGGUUCGUUUAGAAAAUAUGGUUAGAGGGACUAUAUGCGGAGCAAUUAAGCAUAAAUUGAUACCCACUCCUCAGAAUUUGGUAACUUCAACUCCAUUAACAACCACUUAUGAAUCUUUUUUUGGAUUACACCCAUUAUCUCAAGUUUUGGAUCGAACUAAUCCAUUGACCCAAAUAGUUCAUGGGAGAAAAUCGAGUUAUCUGGGCCCUGGAGGAUUGACAGGGCGAACUGCAGUUUUCGGAUACGAGAUAUUCACCCCAGUCACUACGGACGCAUUUGCCCUAUUGACACGUCUGAAGGAAUCAAUGUUGGACUUAUUGGAUCCUUAGCAAUUCAUGCGAAGAUUGGUUAUUGGGGGUCUCUAGAAAGUCCGUUUUAUGAAAUUUCUGAGAGAUCAAAAAAAGUACGGAUGCUCUAUUUAUCACCAAGUAAAGAUGAAUACUAUAUGAUAGCGGCAGGAAAUUCUUUGGGCUUGAAUCGAGGUAUUCAGGAAGAACAGGUUGUUCCAGCUCGAUACCGUCAAGAAUUCCUGACUGUUGAAUGGGAACAGGUUCAUCUUCGAAGUAUUUUUCCCUUCCAAUAUUUUUCUAUUGGAGCUUCCCUGAUUCCUUUUAUUGAGCAUAAUGAUGCGAAUCGAGCUUUAAUGAGUUCUAAUAUGCAACGUCAAGCAGUUCCGCUCUCUCGGUCUGAAAAGUGCAUUGUUGGAACUGGGUUGGAACGCCAAGUGGCUUUAGAUUCGGGGGUUACUGCUAUAGCCGAACAUGAGGGAAAAAUCAUUUAUACCGAUACUGACAAGAUAAUUUUAUCGGGCAAUGGGGAUACUCUAAACAUUCCAUUAGUUAUAUACCAACGUUCCAAC